GACGAACGCUGGCGGCGUGCCUAAUACAUGCAAGUCGAACGAGAGCGACCGGUGCUUGCACUGGUCAAUCUAGUGGCGAACGGGUGAGUAACACGUGGGUAACUUGCCCAUCAGAGGGGGAUAACAUUCGGAAACGGAUGCUAAAACCGCAUAGGUCCUUUAACCGCAUGGUUGAAGGAGGAAAAGAGGCGCAAGCUUCUGCUGAUGGAUGGACCCGCGGUGCAUUAGCUAGUUGGUGAGGUAACGGCUCACCAAGGCCGUGAUGCAUAGCCGACCUGAGAGGGUGAUCGGCCACAUUGGGACUGAGACACGGCCCAAACUCCUACGGGAGGCAGCAGUAGGGAAUCUUCCGCAAUGGACGCAAGUCUGACGGAGCAACGCCGCGUGAGUGAAGAAGGUUUUCGGAUCGUAAAACUCUGUUGUUAGAGAAGAACAAGUGCUAGAGUAACUGUUAGCGCCUUGACGGUAUCUAACCAGAAAGCCACGGCUAACUACGUGCCAGCAGCCGCGGUAAUACGUAGGUGGCAAGCGUUGUCCGGAUUUAUUGGGCGUAAAGCGAGCGCAGGCGGUUCCUUAAGUCUGAUGUGAAAGCCCCCGGCUCAACCGGGGAGGGUCAUUGGAAACUGGGGAACUUGAGUGCAGAAGAGGAGAGUGGAAUUCCAUGUGUAGCGGUGAAAUGCGUAGAUAUAUGGAGGAACACCAGUGGCGAAGGCGACUCUCUGGUCUGUAACUGACGCUGAGGCUCGAAAGCGUGGGUAGCAAACAGG
rnacentral:rRNA from 1 species